AGGAAAUAGAAUCCUUAAAUGAUCCUAUAUCAAAAAAAGAAAUUGAACAAACAAUGAACUCCCUAAGAAAAAAAUCCCCAGGGCUAGAUGGAUUCACAAGUGAAUUUUAUCAAACAUUUAAAGAACAAUUAAUCCUAAUACUACAUGAAUUAUUAGGGGAACGAGGCAGAGAAGGAAUCCUACCAAAUUCUUUUAAUUAAAUGAAUAUCCAAGCCAGGAAGUACAAGAACAGAGAAAGAAAAUUAUAGGUCAAUUUCAUUAAUGAAUAUAGAUGCAAAAAUUUUAAAUAAGAUACUAAGAAGUAGAAUACAGCAAUAUAUCUCAAGGAUCAUUCAUUACGACCAGGUAGGAUUUAUACCAGGAAUGCAUUUGGUUUAAUGGUUUAAUAUUAGGAAAAAUAUCAACCUAAUUGACCACUUCAAUAACCAGACUAACAGAAAUCACAUGAUUAUCUCAGUAGAUUCAGAAAAAGCCUUUGACAAAAUACGACACCCGUUCCUAUUAAAGACACUAGAAAGCAUGGAAAUAAAUGGGUUAUUCCUUAAAAUGCACUUUUAUUUCUGCUGAGCACUGGCUGCCUGCCUUGAGCAGCAAUGAGAGGCACACAGCCAACCUCUCUACUCUCCCCAUCUUGAACCUGAUGACGGUGCAAAGCAAGAAGAACAGGAGAAUCACAGAGACAGAACAAAGCAGAAAUACCACCUCUGAGGAGGCCAAAUUAAAGAGGUUAUAUUCGUAUCUUAAUGUAUAUUGUAAAGGGAAUGAAUGAAUGAAUAAAUGAAUGGUUACUUUGGCCA
rnacentral:lncRNA from 1 species